rnacentral:misc_RNA from 1 species
UCCGGUUUAACACCGGCAGUCUCCCUAGAGUGCCCAACUUAAUGCUGGCAACUAAGGACAGGGGUUGCGCUCGUUGCGAGACUUAACCCAACAUUUCACAACACGAGCUGACGACAGCCAUGCAGCGCCUAUCACCGAAUUCCCCGAAGGGCACAGUUCCUUUUCGGGAACCUUUUCGGGACUUCAAACCCAGGUAAGGUUUUUCGCGUUGCUUCGAAUUAAACCACAUGAUCCACCGCUUGUGCGGGCCCCCGUCAAUUCCUUUGAGUUUUAGUCUUGCGACCGUACUCCCCAGGCGGAGCACUUAAUGCGUUAGCUACGUCUCGGCAGGGGUUAAUACCCACCAAAACUAGUGCUCAUCGUUUACGGCGUGGACUAC